AACUCUAUUUUUGGAUAUCUUUCAAAGCGGGAAUAGUGUUUUAAUGGCUUAUUGAUUAGACGGCGCCACGAUUGUGAGCUGUGUCAUAAUAACAAUGUUGAAUAUUUUUCAUUUCCUUUUCAAUAUUUUUUAGUGAUGAGAGAUAAAUUCGCAAUAACUAGCGAAGAAUGUAUCAUCUUUUUAUUAAAAAGAAAAAAAUAACGAAUUAAAAUAUGAAAACAAAGAAAUCAAUAAAAAAUAUUGACAAGACCUGACGAGUGCUGGCUUACUCAUUUCAGCACAUUUCAAAAUUCAACAUUUUAACAAGUAUCAGACCUUAGGAAAUAUUCUAAUCUAUUUUUAUUCACCGGACUGUAAAUUUAGUUCUGAAGAAAAUUCUAUCAUACAACAAUUAAAAAACAGCUGUUUAAACUCUCCAUGUUUUUUAAAGUCUAUCAGUGUAAGGUUGGGAGACUUUUAAAAAUUUGAAAAAAUACCAGGCUGGAACGCUGCAAGAACAUCAGUUUUUACACACGUGAGUUUUGUUAUUAAACUAUAAUCUUUACAUUGAUUUCGUUACAUCCUAUAUGAUUUUCUCAAAAACUGUGUCCACAGUCUUUUCUGAUUAAUUAUACUUUUUAACCCCCAUUCUUCUUCUAACCUUUAAGUAUGGUCUAAUCCUCAUUUACUAUGAUGAAAAUAAUUAUCAUGCCCUUGCUGCUUGGUGGAGACGAAGUUUUUCAAUACAACAUCAAGAGCGUGAAAUAAUGUGGUUAGGAAAACAGUACAUUCUUAUUUUUUGUUCAUUAUUUUAUCAAUCCGCUUCGAGGACAAGAUUUUAAUGAUGAAUUUUAAAGUUGACGAAAGACACAUUGAUAAUUUCUAACCCCGCAUCAUGGUAACGUUUAAUUAAUUUUAAUACUUACGACAAUUUAUUUCAUUACUGGAACUGCUCCUCUCUCAUCCAGAAUGGACUCCGAUUUAAUUCUCAUCAGGCAAGUAAAAACACUUGACAAAAAGAACUCUGAAUAUUCCAUGGCAGCUGGGCUGCUAAUUAAAGAUACCUUUCGAAUGAAGUUGCCCAGAGUUCAGCGUCAGUUCCAAAUCCUAAUGCCAAACUUAAACGCAGCUAACGAUGGAAAAGUUCAAAUGUCGGACUCCCUCGAUGAAACAAAAGUCACAACGCAAAGGGUGGACGAGACCACCGGAGUAGCUGCAAAAUUGCUCCCGUCCAACUCAAAACCCUCAACCCACCAGGAUCACAGCGUCAGCGAUGCUAAUCCCACCGACGUCCGCAAGAACGAAAAGGUGCCUGUAACACUGAAAAGGACUCUCCACCAAACAAGCGGCUUGCGAGAAAGAGAGGAAGAUAAUAGACCUUGCAGAAAUCGUGGAUGACGACCGCAGAUCGGACAAAAAGAUGCUGAACCUGAACAUGAAUCUGCAGGACUGUAAGGACAAAAUUCGAGACAAGUGCGAGCUGGCUAGUAAAAGAUGGAGCGAAGCAUGUUUUCCCAGAGAAACUUACAGAGGCGAGACUUGAACUGAAAAAGAAAAUGCCUGACUGGUGGAAGACAGUGACUUGUGGUUUUAAUAGUCUGCAAGAAAACGUCGCGAAAAAUUGGGGAAAAGAGACGAUUGAGAGGAAGAGGUAACGUGCAUCUCUAGAACUGAAAAAUGAGAUCCGAUAAAAAAAAGAGAAUAAACUGAACGCAAAACACAUACAUUUUGAUCAUAAAACCAGGUGAGACCAUGCUCCAUGCAUUUCUUUUCCUUUUUUCCAUAAAAUGAAGUCUAAGCGCAUACAAUUUCAAAAAAACUUUAUUUGUUUAAAUGAACUAAAUGGUUAUUUACACAUACUAGGCGAAGUCUUUUAACCCCCAUUUCAUGAAGAAAGAUAUUUGUUCUUUGAUAAAACUGUGUUUUCAAUUAUUGGUAUGAAUGAAUUUUAAAUCACAACGACACUAUUCUCAAAGAAUAUUUGAGUAGGUAUUUCUCCUCGUUUUUGGAGAGAGAAGUGGUGAAAUAAAGUAAACGUUGAGACGGCAUAAGGUGGUCUUUAACUCCCACUUCAUAAUUUUGAGAACCAGUAUGCUAUUUUAUAUUAAAACUCCUUAAUGAUAACAAGCUUUAAAAUACCACCUACUCUGAAACUGUGCACUCAUUUACGAUAAGUAAGAAUAGGUAUCAUCAGAAAUUCGCAGCUCCUUGAGUAUUAAAACAUCUACCUCUUACAACGAAAUAGUGAUAACUUCUAUUUGAUAUUUUCUUGAUUAGAAUAAAUCUUAAAAAAUAUAUUCCGUAUAAUAUAUAUGAUGCUGCAUCAAGUAACUCUCUGUAAUUUUCUAAAUACACGCACUUUGAUAUUACGCCUGAAUAACAUACCCUCCAUUUUUUCAUGAAAUUUUAUGAAAUGACCUUUCCUCCCUAGCCAAUCACUUUCAAGAUUAGAAAAUUUACCUCCACUUGGAGUCUCUACAUUAUUAGCAUUGUAAGUUUUUUUAAUCUAAUUGGU
rnacentral:lncRNA from 1 species